rnacentral:SRP_RNA from 2 species
UCGUGCUAGACGGGGAGCUGGCGGUGCCCUGUACCCGCAAUCCGCCAUAGCGGGGUCGAAUCCCCCCCAGAGGACAUAGCGCGUGCGGGACUGUCGAGGUCAGAAGGCGUUGAGGGGUGGGUCCUGCGCGGCAGGAGCCUCCGAACCCCGCCAGGUCCGGGAGGAAGCAACGGUAAGGAGUCCCUCCUGGGUGCCGCAGGGGUGCCUGCCCGGAGCCGGAUGGCCGAGACAAGCCGUGCGAGGCGGUUCGAAGGGGGGUGCACGA